AUUGAAUAUAGAGGUAGCGGUGCAUCAGAGUAUGAAAUCGAGCAGGUAUGCGAAGACGUUUUUGAAAGGUAAUCACCGCCGAAUAGUGUAAAUAGACAUAUUUAUGCUAUGGGGAUAGUAGAGAAAAUCACUAUCACUCAAUCCGGGAUGGAUUGGCGCUAUUAGUAGA
rnacentral:ncRNA from 1 species